rnacentral:rRNA from 1 species
AUGGAGGUCGAGAUCAAGCUCCGUCUCCCCGACGCGGCUGCACACCGGCGCCUCUCCUCCUUCCUCGCGCCCCGCCUGCUCCGCACCGACGCCCCAGCGCGGCCCCUCGCCGCCGCCACCGCCGCCCAGCGGAACGUCCGCCUCUACGGCACCGACGACCGCGACCCCUCCCGCGCCGUCCUCACGCUCAAGCGCCGCCCGCGCAUCGACGCCGGCGUCAGCCGCGUUGAGGAGGUCGUGGAGCCCCUCGACCCCGCCCUCGCCCUCACCUGCAUCGACAACCCCGCCCAUCUCGGUGCGGUCGACUCCCCCAUCGUCCGGCUCGUCUCCGACGAGUACGGCGUCGGCGGGGACAAAGCGCCGUUCGUCUGCCUCGGCGGCUUCCGGAACACCCGCGAGCUCGACGAGACACACUUCGAUUUCGGCACAAACUACGAGCUGGAGUGCGAGACCGCGGAGCCCGACCAGGCCAAGGAGGUCCUGGAGCGGCUGCUCACCAGCAAUAAGUUCGCGUGCUUCAUGGCCGGGAAGCUGCUUCCGUGA